rnacentral:rRNA from 1 species
UUUUAUGGAGAGUUUGAUCCUGGCUCAGGAUGAACGCUGGCGGCGUGCCUAAUACAUGCAAGUCGAGCGAACGGACGAUA